GACGAACGCUGGCGGCGUGCUUAACACAUGCAAGUCGAACGGAAAGGCCCUGCUUUUGUGGGGUGCUCGAGUGGCGAACGGGUGAGUAACACGUGAGUAACCUGCCCUUGACUUUGGGAUAACUUCAGGAAACUGGGGCUAAUACCGGAUAGGAGCUCCUGCUGCAUGGUGGGGGUUGGAAAGUUUCGGCGGUUGGGGAUGGACUCGCGGCUUAUCAGCUUGUUGGUGGGGUAGUGGCUUACCAAGGCUUUGACGGGUAGCCGGCCUGAGAGGGUGACCGGCCACAAUGGGACUGAGAUACGGCCCAGACUCCUAAGGGAGGCAGCAGUGGGGAAUAUUGCACAAUGGGCGGAAGCCUGAAGCAGCAACGCCGCGUGCGGGAUGACGGCCUUCGGGUUGGAAACCGCUUUCGCCUGUGACGAAGCGUGAGUGACGGUAAUGGGUAAAGAAGCACCGGCUAACUACGUG
rnacentral:rRNA from 1 species